GGAAGAGCGCGAGAAGAGGCAGCCCUCCUCAUAUGUCGUUUAAAAAUUCUCUUUGUAGAGAAAGUAGGCUAGCCUUGCCUCGCCGAAGAAGUCGAUGAUGCGCCGCGCCGCACGUGUAAUCCCCGGACCCCGGUGACCAUAGCACGUCCGUCGUGUGAAACUGGUUGUAAAUCCUUCCGCGGCGCACAGAAGACAGUUCGGAAGGAUUGGUCAAUCGAAUACUUCACCUUGUACUCGACAAUAAGAACCGGCGUAAAUUAUCGGCUGCGUGUCUACUCUCUGACGAGUCUGACGGAGAUCGAAAAAGUGCAGUAAGACCAUGCGGUUUGCAUGAAAAUGCAAGUGAAAUUUAUGGUAAACUGUCUGUGUAUUUUACAUGACUGAGGGACAUUUGUUUCGGCAGACAUUUGCCGGCACUUAAUUUGAGGAUUGAUCAAGAAUCAGUAAAUACAUGCAUACAUGAUUGUUGAGUCUUGAAGGAUGUUCAUCAAGUGUGUUGCAUCGCAUGUAUGCACAAGAAAUCUUACGCAACGCAACGUAAUAAUUGCAGAUUGAUGUAAUCUUCAAUCGUACUGAUUAAUUAUCGCAAUGUGAUCGGAACGUGUAACGACUUUAUUGCGAUACAGGAAAACAGCUGAAUGCUCUUUACUUCUAAAUAAAACCUGUCUUUCAUCAAAAA